UGACUGCCACAUCCAGACAGACUCAGGCCCCGCGACGUAAAGGAAUCAGCAUCUCCCAGCUCCCUGGACAUUUUUAUUUCUAGGCCAGAACAUUUGCCCCUGAUGGGGUGUGACCUCAUCUCACCAUGAAGCUCUUCUAAUGACACCCUGAGCUGCACUGUGAUGGUCACAUAAGUUGUCGGCACUGGCAGCUUCAGGGAUGUGGUCCCCUGAGAACUUAGAGAAGGACAGUAAUAAGCAGAGUUGCUUCCAGAGACAGACUGGCCCUUGUGGCAGCAAGAUUGAAUCAUAUCCUGAUGGAAAGAUCCAAAUAGAGAAAGUGUAGGUUAGACGGGGAGAGCUGGCCAAUGGCAGAAGAGCGGAGAAGGGCCAUGUGCCCAGAACAACACUGUCAGUGCCCUGAGCCCAGGGGAGAGGCCGCCCUUGCCCGUGGAUGGGCAUUUUACUUUUCAGAACAAAUUCAUCUCAUUCAAACGCUUGUCGUUCAUUUAUUCCUGGAACACACCUGUGCCAGCCACCACAUGCAUAAUUAUUUUUCGCUCUGUGGGUUACAGGUUGUAUCUGGCCUCCUUCUUGUAAAGCAGACUUUCACCCCCGUAUUGCUCAAUGCUGUAUCCUAGCAUGGGGCCUUGCUCACGGUUACACUGGACAGGUGAACACUACUUCAUAUAUCUGAGAGAGAGAUUCAGGAAAUUUCAUCACUAGACAGACAAUGAAGACACCAGCCCCCUGCAAGUCCACCCACAUAUGAGAAGGGAGGUCCCCUGUUCUUACUCUGAGCUCACUGGGCCACUUCCUGCUGGUGAUAAAGGUUCCCAUUCAGUCCCCCUUCAGGAAGAGAAUGUGGACACCCCAACAUGGCUACUAUUUUCCUUGCAAGAUAAUAAUAUAGUAAACCCCCUCAAUAUCCAAAGGGGAUUUGUUCCAGGGACCCCCUCUGGAUGCUGAAAUCCACAGAUGCUCAAUCCCUCAUAUAAAAAGGUGUGGUAUUUACAUUUAAGCAAUGCACAUCCUGUUGUAUACUUUAAAUCCUCCCCAAAUCACUUAUUAUUUUUUACCUUUAUUGUAUUUAUUUAGUUUUAUGUGGUGCUGAGGAUCAAACCCAGGGCCUCACAUGUACUAUGCAGGCACUCUACCGCUGAGCCACAGCUCCAGGCCCCCCAAAUUACUUACGUUACUUAAUACAAUCUAAGUGCAGUGGAAAUACUUGUGAUACUGUAUUGCUUGGGGAAUGAUGACUACUAACACAAUUUGGCUUUUAAAUAUUUUGCAUCCAAUAUUUUGCAUUUUGUUGGUUGAAUCCAUGGAUGUGUAACCUGCAGAUAUGGAGGGCCAACUGUAUCAAGGUAUAUCCAUCAGAUACAUAGGCUAGAUUCAUAAGAAUGGAAACACACACACAUACACACACACACACACUCAGUGGAGUCUCUGGGUAAGCUGGUGAUAGGGCUGGCAGUGGCAGGUGUCUGAGUGUGCCUGGGUGAGAGUCAAUGUGAUGAGCCUUCUGGGAGUCAGCUACCAGCCAGGAAGCCCCAGAGGCCACCUUUGGGGUCAGCUGGGCAAGACUCCUUUACUGGAGUGUUGGCACUAAGGACAGGCACAUCAUGGCUCAAUCCUGGAGCCCCGUUGCCUCUAUAUUCCAGAAGUGCUUCUCGUCCUUGACUAAUUCCACAGAGUUGGAGACCAUCCAGGCAAAGACGACUCUGGGGGAUCAUUGCACCAUAUCCCUACUUCAUAAUUAUCAUUUUUUCCCCUCCCCUCCCCUCACUGUCCAAUCUAAAGUUCCUCCAUUCUUCCCUACACCC
rnacentral:lncRNA from 1 species